rnacentral:lncRNA from 1 species
CCGAUCGAACCUCCUUUGCCGACCCAGAUCGGUAAGCGGUUGAUGUUCAGACUCUACAGACAAUAGACUACUUCGACCUUUAGUAUUUCAGAGUUACUAACCGACAACCGACCCCCGACGCAUAGUCGGCUAACUCAUUCAAAUAUAUCAUAACCGUCACGGAUGGUUACUCCACUGAUAUCGCAGCGUAAUCCAUGGAGACUAAUAAUCC